rnacentral:lncRNA from 1 species
CAUGUUGCUACAUUGUAGUCUUUAAUAUAAAAUACAAAGAUACUCUGCCACCCGACUGUCAUUGCUUUAAAAAUCGAAUUGUGAUGCUUCUCGAAGGGUUCAACAUUCCUUGAAUUUCUUUAGUCAGUGACAGCAAGAAAAAAAAUUGGUUUUCAGAACUAAGAGUAUAAAAGUUGGUCUCAUUCUAGAAAUCUGUCAACUUCAGGUUCAAAAGCCUGAAGAAAAAUCAAACACACAGAAGCACAAAUCAUGAGUGGGAGGUGCAAGGACAGCCAUUGCAGUAUUUCAGCAUGCACAAGGUUCAAAUCUGCUUGAAAUUUUGCAGGAUUGGAGUAAAGUUGGUGGCCUAAAUAAUUAUUUAAUACUGACACAUGAAUGAAACUGUUCAGGAUAAAGACAUCCACCUCUAACACAGAGAUGUGUUGAUGGGAUGUGCUCAUAUUCAUCUCAUUAAAUCAAGCUGUCACAUCUAGCACCACUCUUACCUAAUGAAGGAUCUGUGUUAUCUUUCCAGUGCCUGGUCUCAGAACUGAAUUGCAGCAAUCUCUUCAAAAUAUCUCAUGUGCCACAUUGUGCCGAUUGUGAAAACACACAAUAGAUAACCAGAACUGACAGGAGAUUGCAGCCAUGCAGAGAAAAGUGUGACAUACACAGUGUUUUGAAAGAGGCAUGGAGGACCAGAAGAGACAGUGAGGAAGAGCAGGGAAGGGAAGAAACAGCACUGUAACUACAGUUACCACAGAGCAUGCUGCUGCAAAUGUAAUCCUCUUCUGGGUGUCCAUGUUAAUUCCUGCAGAGAUGACUUCGUGAAGUACAGCUAUAUCAAAGGAUCAGUAUAAGUGCACCCAAAUGUAUUAGAAAAUUUCUAUUUGUCCUCUUAGUCAGCCUUACAUUACUACUGUAAUUUUGGUGACUGACACUUGGUUUGUCAGAACCUUUUCACAGUAAACUGCUUCAGGAAACCAUUCCCCAAACUUGCCUGAUCACACACCUGUAUUAGUUGGUGUGUUCAUAUGAGGUAACAGAGACAUAAACAUGAAAUAAUCAUUGCUAUGUAAUGUAAUUCUCAGUGUUACAGAUGAAGCAAUUGACUUAGAAAGGCAUUUGGGGACAAAGGUAUUUCAUUGUAGUUUAGAGAUUAAGGCGGAUAUCUCCAUUGCUUUGGACUAUGAUUUUACCAUCCAUUGGAUUCAUUGCUCCAGGGAAGUUAC